rnacentral:rRNA from 1 species
UCUGAUUAGCUAGUUGGUAGGGUAAAAGCCUACCAAGGCAUCGAUCAGUAACUGGUCUGAGAGGAUGACCAGUCACACUGGGACUGAGACACGGCCCAGACUCCUACGGGAGGCAGCAGUGGGGAAUUUUCCGCAAUGGGCGAAAGCCCGACGGAGCAAUACCGCGUGAGGGAGGAAGGCUCUUGGGUUGUAAACCUCUUUUCUCAGGGAAGAACAAAAUGACGGUACCUGAGGAAUCAGCAUCGGCUAACUCCGUGCCAGCAGCCGCGGUAAUACGGAGGAUGCAAGCGUUAUCCGGAAUGAUUGGGCGUAAAGCGUCCGCAGGUGGCUGCUUCAAGUCUGCUGUCAAAGCUCAGGGCUUAACCCUGAAUCGGCGGUGGAAACUGAACAGCUAGAGUGCGGUAGGGGUAGAGGGAAUUCCCAGUGUAGCGGUGAAAUGCGUAGAGAUUGGGAAGAACACCAGUGGCGAAAGCGCUCUGCUGGACCGCAACUGACACUCAUGGACGAAAGCUAGGGGAGCGAAUGGGAUUAGAUACCCCAGUAGUCCUAGCCGU